rnacentral:tRNA from 3 species
AAAGCACUAGUAAAAGUAUUACAUUAUCUUGUCAAGAUAAAAUCACGGGCUAAAAACCCGUGUGCUUUA